rnacentral:rRNA from 1 species
GUGUGAGGCAUGCAAGGGCUGUCGCUGACUUGAAGUCGUGCACGCCGGGGUGUGUCCUCUCACAUAAAAUCCAUCUCACCCUUUUGUGCACCACCGCGUGGGCACCCUUCGGGAUCGAACCGAUUCAGGAGGGGGCUUGCGUUUUCACACAAACCCCAUUUUAAAAGUGUAGAAUGUCUCUAUUUUUGCGAUGACACGCAAUCAAUACAACUUUCAACAACGGAUCUCUUGGCUCUCGCAUCGAUGAAGAACGCAGCGAAAUGCGAUACGUAAUGUGAAUUGCAGAAUUCAGUGAAUCAUCGAAUCUUUGAACGCACCUUGCGCCCCUUGGUAUUCCGAGGGGCACACCCGUUUGAGUGUCGUGAAAAUCUCAACCUUCUCGGUUUCUUCUGGACACCGAAGGAGGCUUGGACUUUGGAGGCCUUUGCUGGCGUCUCUUUUGAAGGCCAGCUCCUCUCAAAUGAAUUAGCGGGGUCCUCUUUGCCGAUCCUCGACGUGUGAUAAGAUGUUUCCAUGUCUUGGUUUCUGGCUCUGUUGCCUUUGGGACCCGCUUCUAACCGUCUCAACCGAGACAAUGCUUGAGCGUGUCUCCCUUCUCGGGAAACACUCUCGAGCCCACGAACCCUUGACCUCAAAUCGGGUGAGACUACCCGCUGAACUUAAGCAUAUCAAUAAGCGGAGGAAAAGAAACUAACAAGGAUUCCCCUAGUAACUGCGAGUGAAGCGGGAAAAGCUCAAAUUUAAAAUCUGGCGGUCUUUGGCCGUCCGAGUUGUAAUUUAGAGAAGCGUCUUCCGCGCUGGACCGUGUACAAA